GAAAACGUUGCCUUAGUCAGACUAAUGGGGACCCAAGUUCUAAGAGGAGAAGAUAUUCCAUUGUGUAAGAGGAGAGAAAAGGAGGAAAAUCAAGGCAUGUCUGUGAUCUGGGAUGCCAAGUGGAGCCACGGGGCACGUGUCAGAGGAUUCAGAUGUCAUCAUUGGCAGGAACCACCAGAGCCAAGAUCCGGGCCAGGAACCAAAUUCUGCUGGGGAAGGCUGAGAGAAGGCAGAACAAGACUUUCGUGCAGUUUGUGUUCGGUAGCCUCUCAUCAGACGUGGGAACUUUUCCUGUUCUGCUCCAUGGCUGAGGUUCUUAAGAGUCUGAUGAGGCCAACAGAAGACUCUCCAUUACCUUGGAAACGAAGAACCAUUAUCUUGGGUCUGACCCUGAAUCAUCUUGUUGCCUGCAAGACUGAGCUAUGUGGUCAGCAAAAUGCUUGACCCCUCCCAGUCCAGCUAUUGCUUGUCAUUCGUGUGACAACCUGCACGUAGGAUGUCAACCUUGUGACAACCUGCAUGUGGAGCAUCGUCCUUGCCCGUGUUUCGGUCCCCUCAGUCCCUGCAGCCCGGGCUUUGUGCGGUGCAGGAUGGCACUGCAUCCCAACACGCUCUCGCUGUGCUGCUGAGCCAUUUGCAGCAGUUCUGCUGUGUCUUCUGCAUUUUCUUCUCAUAGAUCACCCUCAGGUUUCUUCUGCAUUUUCUUCUCAUAGAUCACCCUCAGGUUUAUAUAUGGCUUUGUGGCAGCUGUGCAGAGGGACACAGUUGUCAGGCCCUGUGGGAUGGAAAGGAAAAGUGCCAUGUUCACCUGGACAACAGCUACAGACAAUCCCCUUUGAAAAAGGGGUUUCACCCUCAGUUCAGUGACCAAAUCCUUCAGUGCUCUGGCCAUAAGUGCACUAAAAGACCUGCUGGAAGAUCUGAGGUAUAUAUUGUGGUCUGUGUUCCCUGGUUUGAGCCUUCUGCUUUGUUUUUAUUCCAUUGCACCAGUGGUGCUUCAUGGUUGUGGUCUGAAGCAUACCUUUUUAUAAACAAAUUGGUAUGUACCAAUUAACAUUCAGGAACUCCAAAGUAGCUUUGGAAAGUAUUCUCUUUUAAGGAAAACACAAUAUAGAAUCAGAAUAAUUUUGGAAGAGACCCUCAAGAUCAUCGGGUCCAACUGUUAACCCAACACUGGCACAAAAUCAUGUCCCUAAGAACCUCAUCUACGCAUCUUUUAAACCCCUCCAGGGAUGGUGACUCCACCACUGCCCUGGGCUGCCUGUUCCAAUGCCUGACAGCUCUUUCUGAGAUGAAAUUUUUCCUAAUAUCCAAUCUGAACCUCCCCUGGUGCAACUUGAGGCUAUUUCCUCUAGUUCUAUCACUUGUUAGGAGAAGAGACCAACCCCCUCCAUGCUACAACGUCCUUUCAGGUAGUUGUAGAGAGCGAGAAGGUGUAGAUUAGUGUUGAUGAGAACAUUCUGCUCUGAUGAAGGUCAGAAGAAAGAUUUUAUACCAUCAGUGUUGAUCUGCUCAGGAAGAUGAGGAAGCUGCCUCUUCAUUUCAGCUGUGAUGAACUGGGAUCUCAUCUGGAUCUGGCAGCUGCCUGUCUUGCCUGUCCUGCCUGCCCUGUCCUGCCACUGAGUCACUCUGCAGAGGGAACUGCCAUGUAGGAGCCUCCUGCCCGUGAGCAGGGCAGCUCUGCUCCCCAGGACAGGUGUGACGGCACCACACUGAGCAGGCCAGAAGGUGUCUGACAAGUCAUUUUCUAAAAAGUGCUUAUUAACCAAUAGAAUUUCACCAAAACACACCGGUUUAAUAAAUUUUUGUUUCGGACGCAGCCUUGGACCACAUUUGAAGUCUUUUGUUUUCACCUUUCCGGAGUGAAGUGUUCUGUUUUUUUUUUUUUUUAUAGAUGAGUUUUCAUCACAGCUCUUAACAUUUUAAAAUUAUAUAGAAAAAAAACAUAAAAUACAAUUAUAAUUUUUCACUGUGUUGAAAUUAAACAUUUUGAAUAACAAAUACAUUUCCUUGGAGUUUGCAGGAAAUCUCAAAAUUACUUGCUUUGUUGCAUUUUCUAAAAUGGAAAAAAGUCCAAAUAAUGAAAUUUGUGAUGAAAAGGAGAAGUAAGAGUCUCUAUGUACUUUAAAAGGAGUAACUCAGUUUAAAAUAGCAAUUUUUUUCUACCGUUUUUAAUCUCUCUUUGCUUUAAUUAUCAAUGAAAAUACUUUUGCAGGAUCGGGACUUAUUUGAAACAGAUAAAAUCUGCUGUCUCCUUGGCACUAUAUUAUUUUCUCAGCUUCCCUUCCCUUCUCAACUUUGGGCAAAAAGGAAAACAGCUUGGUACUUUUCACACCGUUAUUCUUGACUUUGUCAUUUGGGAUCCAGCACUUUUGAGGACAGCUGUAAGUCAUCCUCUGAGCCUGGACCUUCAUACAAAGUUUUUGUGUGAAUUCAUCUGCUUUAGCAAGUAUUUGAGUGGAGCUUAAAAGUAAGUAGGAAAUGUUGUUGAUUUAUAGUAGUAGGCAGGGUUGAUGAGCUUCAGCCACAUUAGAGGGGUCAUAGCUGGGCUUUUGAUUUACCAAACAGUAGCAAAGGAGUAACAUAUUUCGCCCUCUUUUGUAGGAGUAAUUUUUUUUCUACUAUCUAAAACCACAGUGGAGACACUCUGUUUUUAUUAGGCUGUAUGUAUUUUUCCCUUCUGAAAUGACUGACUGUGGCCAAAGCAAAAAUCCCAAGUAUUUGGGCUGUUGCUUGGCUGAGCCUCCUCGCCUUGGCGCUCGCUUGGAGCCUGUUGCAGCUCCCGAGGAUGAUGGAACGGCUCCCACUGGGAGCUGGAUCAAGUUUUGAGCUGCUCCUCACUGCUUGUUUAUUUGUCCUAUUCUCCGGGCUUGGCAGGUGGCAUUUUUGCUCAGUGAUUCAUUCUCCGGCACAUGCAUUUAUCUGGGCUGACAUUUUAAUCAUGCAAAUAAGGAUCUCCUUAAUGAAGAAAAAAAUUAAUUUCACAACUGUUGCUACAAACACAGUGACAUUCCUGCUAAUGUCAUUACAUUUAUAAUACAAUCAGUGGCUUUUCCAUAAUUGCUAUAAACUGGUGCACUUAGCAGCGGAGUAAAGGUUACACAAAGAGCUGUAUGACUCCUCUUGUUCACUUGCUUUUUUAUCAAGAGUG